UACGGGGGGGGCAAGCGUUGUUCGGAAUUACUGGGCGUAAAGGGCUCGUAGGCGGCCAACUAAGUCAGACGUGAAAUCCCUCGGCUUAACCGGGGAACUGCGUCUGAUACUGGAUGGCUAGAGGUUGGGAGAGGGAUGCGGAAUUCCAGGUGUAGCGGUGAAAUGCGUAGAUAUCUGGAGGAACACCGGUGGCGAAGGCGGUUCUCUGGGCAUUACCUGACGCUGAGGAGCGAAAGUGUGGGGAGCGAACAGG
rnacentral:rRNA from 1 species